UUAAAUAACCGAGGUCGGGAACCUCAAUUUAA
rfam:Flavobacterium columnare ATCC 49512, complete genome.